CACGGCAAGCGCUACUGUUGGUGGAUGCGGUGGGUGCUCGUGGUCGCCGUGGGGCUCGCGGCCAUGCUUGUGCCCAAUUUCACCGACUUCCUCUCCCUCGUGGGGAGCAGCGUCUGCGUGCUGCUCGGCUUCGUGCUGCCGGCCACCUUCCACAUCAAGGUGUUCGGCGCCGAGAUGGGCUGGGUCGGGGUUCUCAGCGACGUCCUCCUGGUGGUGCUCGGCCUCGUGCUCGCCGUCUUCGGCACCUACUCGUCGCUGGUGCAAAUCUUCCACUCUUCCAGCGCUUAAAUUCCGGUAUUCGCCGAGGGCUAAUCUGCUCGGUGCAUUGGCUCUCUCUCAUCCACGCUGGUUAAGAUCUCGCGUAGUAGUUUUCCACGCUACCACUACCAGAAGGGGAUCAGUGGAUCAGAGAGGAAUUGCCUGGCUCAGCUAUUUGUUGAUCUGGGAAAUGGAUUGCGUGCAUUCGUUUGGGAAUUCUUGUUCAGAUUGUUAGUACGAGAUAGUACUAGUUGAUUGGAGGCAUGGAGAAAUCUGUAUGGUUUUGCUACGACAGAUUCCGAUCAUGUCUGCCUAUAGCAUUCUUCUACUCUGUUCGUGUCCUAGAUGUUCCAGCUGCAGUGCAUAUGGAAUGGAUGAAAGGAUACGAAUUUCAGUAUUUAGUUACUUGUGCGCCGUAGUGUCAGCGUGCAAGGUUGUGUCUUGUGUGUGGCUAAUUGGGCUGGGCAAGCAAUUGGGACGACUUACAUUGCUUGUCAAAGCACCAUUACGUGAUACUCCUACCAUUGUAUACGUUUCGAACUGUUGUACUAUGUCCCAAGCAAGCAACAUAAGCUUGUAAAGGGUCCCGAAGGAAUAAAAUUGG
rnacentral:lncRNA from 1 species